GUGGGGAAUAUUGGACAAUGGGCGAAAGCCUGAUCCAGCCAUGCCACGUGUGUGAAGAAGGUCUUCGGAUUGUAAAGCACUUUAAGUUGGGAGGAAGGGCAGUAAGUUAAUACCUUGCUGUUUUGACGUUACCGACAGAAUAAGCACCGGCUAACUUCGUGCCAGCAGCCGCGGUAAUACGAAGGGUGCAAGCGUUAAUCGGAAUUACUGGGCGUAAUGCGCGCGUAGGUGGUUUUGUAAGUUGGAGGUGAAAUCCCCGGGCUCAACCUGGGAACUGCCUCAAAAACUGCAUGACUAGAGUACGGUAGAGGGUGGAGGAAUUUCCUGUGUAGCGGUGAAAGGCGUAGAUAUAGGAAGGAACACCAGUGGCGAAGGCGACCACCUGGACUGAUACUGACACUGAGGUGCGAAAGCGUGGGGAGCAAACAGGAUUAGAAACCCCGGUAGUCC
rnacentral:rRNA from 1 species